GGCGAACUAGGUGCUCCACUCUUUCUCUCCCUCACUUAAUUUCUUCCUCACAUGUAUUUUAGUUCGCUAUUAUAUGGAUUUUUAAACUUGACGUGUACAGAUCUGACAUAGAAGAGAGGAAGAAUAAUUUUAGCUAAGAGUGGAAUUUAGAGUUCAAAGAAUCAGUUGAUGCUAUUGACCAAAGAGCUAUUUUUGUUACAGUUCUUCUGAAUUAGUAAACCAGAAGGACUAAAACAUCAUUGAUCAGCCAUUGUUGUUAGAUUGAUGUUGCCUUGAUUACCACUUUGUUUGGUAGCUACACUAUAAAUUCUUGAGAUAUAGUGCAAUGGUUCAUAGUUUGUUGCGUAAUCAUAUUGAUUCUGCUGAAUUAAUACUCUCUUUGUACAUCUAGGAUUCCUACUUGCGACAAUGAUCUUUCUACUCAUGAGUAGUCCUUUUUUAUACUGAAUUUUGAUGCAUACUCUAUGCAGAAAAGAAGGCCUCCUCGGACAUUAAGAAGGUACAAUUAGGUAGUAGUGGAAGUGCUCCCUUCAAAAACAAGUAAUAUCUCUUAAUUAUUACACUAGAAUGUAUGCAUGGUAAAUACCAUGACCUUGCAAAUUUACAUCUGUCCCCUUCUCCUUUUCUCAGGAACUUGGCAGAAGCUCUACAUAUGCAAAUGGAGGUUCAGACACAGCUCCAUGAACAGUUAUAGGUGCCUUAUUUGUUCCUGUUUUCGAGCUCUAAUAGGAUGGUGUUGUUGUCGCCUUGUCGGCAUAUAUUUCUGAUAGUAGGAGCAUUCUUUUUCUUGCUUCACAAUAAUUACUGCGCUUUGUGUAUAUAUGAACGCAAAUACAUAUUUAAAUGGGUGCUAAAUGUUGUUGUGGCAUGGUGGACUUUGGAGACUAGCGCUUUUAUAGUAUUGUUACGGACUCUGUUUUUUUUACUAAUAAUCAUAUUGAUUCUACCGAACUAAUCCUCUCUUUGUAUAUCUAGGAUUCCUACUAGAACAUGUGUCAUUCCAAAUUGUGACAAUGAUCUUUCUACUCAUGAGCAGUCCUUUUUAUACUGAAUUUUGAUGCAUAUUGUAUGUGACAAGAAGGACUCCUCGGACAUUAAGAAGGUACGACUAGGUAGCAGUGGAAGUGCUCCGUUCAAAAGCAACUAAUAUCUCUGAAUUAUUACACUAGAAUGUAUGCAUGGUAAAUACCAUGACCUUACAAAUUUACAUCUGUCCCCUUCUCAUUUUCUUAGGAACUUGGCAGAAGCUCUACAUAUGCAAAUGGAGGUUCAGACACAGCUCCAUGAGCAGGUAUAGGUGCCUUCUCUGUUCCUAUUUUCGAGCUCUAAUAGGAUGGUGUUGUUGUCGGCACAUUUUUCUGAUAGUAGGAGCAUUCUUUUUCUGCUUCACAAUAAUUACCGUACUUUGUGUAUAUAUGAACCCAAAUCCAUAUUUAAAUGGGUGCUAAAUGUUUUUUCAGCAUGGUGGACUUUGGAGACUAGCGCUUUUAUAGUAUUGUUACAGACUCCGUUUUUUACUAAAUAAAAUUGAUUCAUCAACACUGCCCUACUGUUUUUGAUGCACAAAAUUAGUCAAUCAACACAUUGGCCUGCUGAAAAUCAACACAUUGGACUGCAGCCAUACUAAUUACUGCAGAAUAUGGUGGUCAGCAAAAUCUACAAGAACAACUGUCCUAGGUGUAGAAUAACAAGGGGUGUGUGCUACGAAAAAUUAAGAGAGGGGGACAAUGAAAAGGAGUUGCCUCGACAGUACAUUGCUAGACGACCUCAAUGCGGUGCUCAGGGUGGCAAACGAAGAGGCGCCCAAUGUCCUUGUGGUGGAGAUAGGGGAGGACUUGGGCGUCCUGACGGUGGAGAACAGGGACGCGCCGGUGUCCUCGUGGUGGAGAAUGAGGAGACGACCUGCAUCCUUGCAGUGGGGAACGGGAAAGCAUAUUAGCAUCUUGUUCCUAAAAAAUAUAGUUUAGUGUGGUGUUUCCCGUUGAUAGUAAGUUGACUGCCAAUUUCACAGCUUUUACAGUUUUAGGAGGUGCUGCAAGAUUAUUUUUGCAUUGUUAUCAUAGUGUGGUGUUUCCGUUGAUAGUAAGUUGACUGCCAAUUUCACAGCUUUUACAGUUUUAGGAGGUGCUGCAAGAUUAUUUUGCAUUGUUAUCUUAUAUGAUUUUCAGAUUAUUCUAUCAUGAAGUAUUGGUUUAUUAUUGAGGUAGCCUUAGAUGGAGGAGCUGAAUGCAGUUUUUGUAUCUUUUUUCAAAGUCCUGAAUGGUCCCAUGAAAAUCCUUGUAUGUGCAGUUUCAGAGCCUCAUCACACUGGUACGAAAAUAGGUAUUUAGGUAAUCGAAGGCUCCAUUUUUUCUAUUAUAUAGAUUAUAUAGCAUGGUGAUCGAAGGUAGGUUGUCACAUAGGGUUUGUUGCUUGUGAAAAUUAUAUACAGCCAUGACCAUGAGUCCCUGACAAAAUAAUCUCAGCUCAUGUUACUAGGAUCAGGGAACCUCGACCACUUUUCUGAAACACGACGCAUCUCAUGUUCCUACUUUCCCAGCUACAAUACUAUGUACUUCAUUCUUACAUUUGCUUUUCGAAGUUAUAUCGCUUUCUUUUCCCUCAUAAACUUGCUAAUGAUAUUGGCGAAGUAAUCCCCACUUCAGAUUUCCCAUUUAAUGAAUAACUAAUUUAGUUUGUUCAAAAAUUGUAGGUCAAGAGCCAUGAAUAGGAGCAAGGCAUCACACUCCAUCUCCGAAGCAAAAACAUUUUGCUUGUAAUAAUGAACUGUAGUUUACCACAAUCUCUCAAAAACAGGCCUACCUAUUACCAGUCCGUUUCUUGCCUUUCUUUAGGAAGUAUGCUCGGUCGUAUAUAUUUACAUUCGUGUUGUUUAGUUGUGGUUUGUAUGCUUGAAAAUACGUUUUAACCGAGCUUGAAAAUUCUUAUGUGAAGUGAAAUUGUAUCUAACACUUUGUAAAGAACAAAUGAAACACGUUUCAAAUAA
rnacentral:lncRNA from 1 species